AUUGAACGCUGGCGGCAGGCUUAACACAUGCAAGUCGAGCGGAGCGAGGGUGCUUGCACCUUAGCUUAGCGGCGGACGGGUGAGUAAUGCUUAGGAAUCUGCCUAUUAGUGGGGGACAACAUUCCGAAAGGGAUGCUAAUACCGCAUACGCCCUACGGGGGAAAGCAGGGGAUCUUCGGACCUUGCGCUAAUAGAUGAGCCUAAGUCGGAUUAGCUAGUUGGUGGGGUAAAGGCCUACCAAGGCGACGAUCUGUAGCGGGUCUGAGAGGAUGAUCCGCCACACUGGGACUGAGACACGGCCCAGACUCCUACGGGAGGCAGCAGUGGGGAAUAUUGGACAAUGGGCGGAAGCCUGAUCCAGCCAUGCCGCGUGUGUGAAGAAGGCCUUUUGGUUGUAAAGCACUUUAAGCGAGGAGGAGGCUACUAGUAUUAAUACUACUGGAUAGUGGACGUUACUUGCAGAAUAAGCACCGGCUAACUCUGUGCCAGCAGCCGCCGUAA
rnacentral:rRNA from 1 species